rfam:Equus caballus chromosome 6, whole genome shotgun sequence.
CAAACAGCUCUUAUCAGAGCUAUACACAGAGAUCUAAAAAAAUAGU